CCGGUGCCAGCCGCCGCGGUAACACCGGCAGCCCGAGUGGUGAUCACUAUUAUUGGGUCUAAAGGGUCCGUAGCCGGUUUAAUCAGUCUUCUGGGAAAUCUAAUCGCUUAACUAUUAGGCUUCCAGGGGAUACUGUUAGACUUGGGACCGGGAGAGGUAAGAGGUACUGCAGGGGUAGGAGUGAAAUCUUGUAAUCCCUGUGAGACCACCAGUGGCGAAGGCGUCUUACCAGAACGGGUCCGACGGUGAGGGACGAAAGCUGGGGGCACGAACCGGAUUAGAUACCCGGGUAGUCCCAGCUGUAAACGAUGCUCGUUAGGUGUCAGGAACGGUGCGACUGUUUCUGGUGCCGAAGGGAAGCCGUGAAACGAGCCACCUGGGAAGUACGGCCGCAAGGCCGAAACUUAAAGGAAUUGGCGGGGGAGCACUACAACGGGUGGAGCCUGCGGUUUAAUUGGACUCAACGCCGGAAAACUCACCGGGGGCGACAGCAAUAUGUAGGUCAGGUUAAAGGUCUUACCUGAAUCGCUGAGAGGAGGUGCAUGGCCGUCGUCAGUUCGUACUGUGAAGCAUCCUGUUAAGUCAGGCAACGAGCAAGACCCGUGCCCACUGUUACCAGCAUAUCCUUUAUGGAUGAUGGGGACUCUGUGGGGACCGCUGCUGCUAAAGCAGAGGAAGGUGCGGGCUACGGUAGGUCAGUAUGCCCCGAAUCUCCCGGGCUACACGCGGGCUACAAUGGUUGGGACAAUGGGUAUCUACUCCGAAAGGAGUUGGCAAUCUCUUAAACCCAAUCGUAGUUCGGAUUGAGGGCUGUAACUCGCCCUCAUGAAGCUGGAAUCCGUAGUAAUCGCGUUUCAACAUAGCGCGGUGA
rnacentral:rRNA from 1 species